rfam:Aneurinibacillus sp. XH2, complete genome.
AAUCCAAAGCAGAAGCACCCGCUUCUCACCUGCAUGAUGCACAUGGUGUUGUCGACAGGUAUGCUUAAUCCAUAAUAUCGGGUUAUAUUUAUGGAAUAGAAUGCGGGCGCAGUGUGUCCGCAUUUUUGCUUUGGU